AUGGAGGCGGCGGGGGCCGGAGCGGCGACGCCGUCGCACGCGUCCAUGGUGGACACGGACGACUUCGACCUGUCGCGGCUGCUGAACCACCGCCCGCGGAUCAACGUGGAGCGGCAGCGGUCCUUCGACGACCGCUCGCUCGGCGACCUCUACCUCUCCGCCAUGGACGGCCGCGGCGCCGGCGGGUAUAUGGACAGCUACGAGAGCAUGUACUCCCCGGGCGGCGGGCUCCGUUCGCUCACCGGCACCCCCGCCUCCUCCACGCGGCUCUCCUUCGAGCCCCACCCGCUGGUCGGCGACGCCUGGGACGCCCUCAGGCGCUCGCUCGUCUGCUUCCGGGGCCAGCCCCUCGGCACCAUCGCCGCCGUCGACAGCUCCUCCGGCGAGGUCCUCAACUACGACCAGGUGUUCGUGAGGGAUUUCGUGCCGAGCGCGCUGGCGUUCCUGAUGAACGGCGAGCCGGAAAUCGUGAAGAACUUCCUGCUGAAGACGCUGCUGCUGCAGGGGUGGGAGAAGAGGAUCGACCGGUUCAAGCUGGGCGAGGGCGCCAUGCCGGCGAGCUUCAAGGUGCUCAAGGACCCGAAGCGCGGAGUGGACACCCUGGCGGCGGACUUCGGCGAGAGCGCCAUCGGCCGCGUGGCGCCGGCCGACUCCGGGUUCUGGUGGAUCAUCCUGCUCCGCGCCUACACCAAGUCCACCGGCGACCACACGCUGGCCGAGACGCCCGAGUGCCAGAAGGGCAUCCGCCUCAUCAUGAACCAGUGCCUCGCCGAGGGCUUCGACACCUUCCCCACCCUCCUCUGCGCCGACGGCUGCUGCAUGAUCGAUCGCCGGAUGGGCGUGUACGGGUACCCGAUCGAGAUCCAAGCCCUCUUCUUCAUGUCGCUGCGGUGCGCGCUGCUGCUGCUGAAGCCGGAGGCGGAGGGGAACAAGGACAUCAUGGAGCGGAUCGUGACGCGGCUGCACGCGCUGAGCUACCACAUGCGGACCUACUUCUGGCUCGACUUCCAGCAGCUCAACGUCAUCUACCGCUUCAAGACGGAGGAGUACUCCCACACGGCCGUCAACAAGUUCAACGUCAUCCCGGAGUCCAUCCCGGACUGGCUCUUCGACUUCAUGCCCUCCCGCGGCGGCUACUUCGUCGGCAACGUCAGCCCCGCCAGGAUGGACUUCCGCUGGUUCGCGCUGGGGAACUGCGUCGCCAUCCUCGCCUCGCUCGCCACGCCCGAGCAGGCCGGCGCCAUCAUGGACCUCAUCGAGGAGCGGUGGGAGGACCUCAUCGGCGAGAUGCCGCUCAAGAUCUGCUACCCCGCCAUCGAGGGCCACGAGUGGCAGAACGUCACCGGCUGCGACCCCAAGAACACCAGGUGGAGCUACCACAACGGAGGCUCCUGGCCUGUGCUGAUCUGGCUCCUGACGGCGGCUUGCAUCAAGACCGGGCGGCUCAAGAUCGCGAGGCGGGCGAUCGACCUGGCGGAGGCGAGGCUGGCGAGGGACAGCUGGCCGGAGUACUACGACGGCAAGCUCGGCCGGUACGUCGGGAAGCAGGCGAGAAAGCACCAGACGUGGUCCAUCGCGGGGUACCUGGUGGCCAAGAUGAUGCUGGAGGACCCGUCCCACCUGGGCAUGAUCUCCCUCGAGGAGGACAAGGCCAUGAACCCUGUGCUCAAGAGGUCUGCCUCAUGGACUGUGUGA
rnacentral:rRNA from 1 species